rnacentral:rRNA from 1 species
AACGAACGCUGGCGGCAGGCUUAACACAUGCAAGUCGAACGCCCCGCAAGGGGAGUGGCAGACGGGUGAGUAACGCGUGGGAAUCUACCCAGUUCUACGGAACAACUGAGGGAAACUUCAGCUAAUACCGUAUACGCCCUACGGGGGAAAGAUUUAUCGGAAUUGGAUGAGCCCGCGUUGGAUUAGCUAGUUGGUGAGGUAACGGCUCACCAAGGCGACGAUCCAUAGCUGGUCUGAGAGGAUGAUCAGCCACACUGGGACUGAGACACGGCCCAGACUCCUACGGGAGGCAGCAGUGGGGAAUAUUGGACAAUGGGAGCAAGCCUGAUCCAGCCAUGCCGCGUGAGUGAUGAAGGCCUUAGGGUUGUAAAGCUCUUACAGUGGGGACGAUAAUGACGGUACCCACAGAAGAAGCCCCGGCUAACUUCGUGCCAGCCGCCGCCGUAAGAC